AUACGUAGGGGGCGAGCGUUGUCCGGAAUGAUUGGGCGUAAAGGGCGCGUAGGCGGCGCGGUAAGUCUGGAGUGAAAGUCCUGCUUUCAAGGUGGGAAUUGCUUUGGAUACUGCCGCGCUUGAGUGCAGGAGAGGUUAUCGGAAUUCCCGGUGUAGCGGUGAAAUGCGUAGAGAUCGGGAGGAACACCAGUGGCGAAGGCGGGUAACUGGACUGCAACUGACGCGGAGGCGCGAAAGUGUGGGGAGCAAACAGGAUUAGAUACCCUGGUAGUCCACACUGUAAACGAUGAAUGCUAGGUGUAAGAGGUAUCGACCCCUUUUGUGCCGGAGUCAACACAAUAAGCAUUCCGCCUGGGGAGUACGGCCGCAAGGUUGAAACUCAAAUGAAUUGACGGGG
rnacentral:rRNA from 1 species